rnacentral:rRNA from 1 species
CCCGCUGAACUUAAGCAUAUCAAUAAGCGGAGGAAAAGAAACUAACAAGGAUUCCCUUAGUAACUGCGAGUGAAGUGGGAAAAGCUCAAAUUUAGAAUCUGGCAGUCACUUGGCUGUCCGAGUUGUAAUCUAGAGAAGUGUUGCCCGUGCUGGACCAUGUACAAGUCUCCUGGAAUGGAGCAUCACAGAGGGUGAGAAUCCUGUCUUUGACAUGGACUGCCAGUGCUUUUGUGGUACGCUCUCAAAGAGUCGAGUUGUUUGGGAAUGCAGCUCAAAAUGGGUGGUAAAUGCCAUCUAAAGCUAAAUAUUGGCGAGAGACCGAUAGCGAACAAGUACCGUGAGGGAAAGAUGAAAAGAACUUUGGAAAGAGAGUUAAACAGUACGUGAAAUUGCUGAAAGGGAAACGCUUGAAGUCAGUCGCGUCAUCCAGGGAUCAACCUUGCUUUUGCUUGGUGCACUUUCUGGUUUGAUGGGUCAGCAUCAAUUUUGACCAUUGGAAAAAGGCUAAGGGAAUGUGGCAUCUUUGGAUGUGUUAUAGCCCUUGGUCACAUACAAUGGUUGGGAUUGAGGAACUCAGCAUGCCGCAAGGCCGGGUUUUUAACCACGUUCAUGCUUAGGAUGCUGGCAAUAUGGCUUUAAUCGACCCGUCUUGAAACACGG